GGUGGCUCAGUGGUAGAGUGCUUGUCUUGCAUGUAUGAGGCCCUGGGUUCGAUUCCUCAGCACCA
rfam:Dipodomys ordii contig_20506, whole genome shotgun sequence.